rnacentral:rRNA from 1 species
GACGAACGCUGGCGGCGUGCCUAACACAUGCAAGUCGAACGGAGUCAUAUUCAACACGGAGUUUUCGCGGGAGCGAGGGCCGCGUGUUGGAUAUGACUUAGUGGCGGACGGGCGAGUAACGCGUGAGCAACCUGUCCUUAAGAGGGGGACAACGGCUGGAAACGGCCGCUAAUACCGCAUAACAUCACGAAGGCGCAUGCCGUUGUGAUCAAAGGAGCGAUCCGCUUAAGGGUGGGCUCGCGUCCGAUUAGCUAGUUGGUGAGGUAAAGGCUCACCAAGGCGACGAUCGGUAGCCGAACUGAGAGGUCGAACGGCCGCAUUGGGACUGGGAGACGGCCCAGACUCCUACGGGAGGCAGCAGUGAGGGAUAUUGGGCAAUGGGGGAAACCCUGACCCAGCAACGCCGCGUGAGGGAAGAAGGUCUUCGGAUUGUAAACCUAAGUAGUCAGGGACGAAGGAAUGACGGUACCUGAAGAGUAAGCUCCGGCUAACUACGUGCCAGCAGCCGCGGUAAUACGUAGGGAGCGAGCGUUGUCCGGAAUUACUGGGUGUAAAGGGUGCGUAGGCGGGCUGUCAAGUCAGAUGUGAAAUACCGGGGCUUAACUCCGGGGCUGCAUUUGAAACUGAUGGUCUUGAGUGAAGUAGAGGCAGGCGGAAUUCCUAGUGUAGCGGUGAAAUGCGUAGAUAUUAGGAGGAACACCAGUGGCGAAGGCGGCCUGCUGGGCUUUAACUGACGCUGAGGCACGAAAGCAUGGGGAGCAAACAGGAUUAGAUACCCUGGUAGUCCAUGCUGUAAAC